AUGAGCUUCGCUCAAGAGCAUAGCUCAUACCAAAACAAUCACUCUCAUGGGUGGCCUAAAAACCCGAAUAUGUCAUAUAGGAGCAACAACCCUGAGAUCUCACCGUUUGCCUCUAGUUAUCCAAUGCAAGGAUUUAGGUACAAUGAGGAGAGCCACAACUAUGCUCCACAACAGAUUUAUUCAGCUCCUACUCAUAUACCUCAACACCAGGAGAUGUUGCCAAUGGAGUUAAAUGGUCCUCCAUUUGGUCAACCAACAACUCCAGCAACUGCUGAGCAAUCUCAUGUGCAAGUGCCCACACAAGAUGAAUUUGAUGAUAUAGACAAGCUCACAUUGCUUAGUCUCAAGUUCACUUGGAGUGCUGAAGAUGAUCCAAUUAGGCUGAUGAUACUAGAAGAAAUGAAGAAUAUCAAGAGUGGAAAAGAGCUAGUGGAUGAAGUAAGGAAGAUUGAUAAGAACAUCAACGCUGGUAGUACUAUCUCAUCUUUCCUUGAGCUGAGUGCUGCUGAGAUUUCUAGUCAUUCAUGUGAGGUUCCAACACCGUCACAUUUAGCUGAUCAAGAUAGCGAGAGCCCAGAGGAAGAGAUACCUCAGAUUGAAGAUGUACUCGAAGCCAAGGCACAAGAUGAUCCAGAGCUCAAAUGCCCAAGUGAUCAAGUUGAAGAUCCAAUGUCUAUCCCUCCCGAAGAAGUAAAAGAAGCUGCUGUAGAUGAAGAUGAAGAACCUGAGAUUCAUUUGCCUAUUGUCAUAUAA
rnacentral:rRNA from 1 species